UACAGAGACUGCAAGCGUUAUUCGGAUUCACUGGGCGUAAAGGGCUCGUAGGUGGCCAACUAAGUCAGACGUGAAAUCCCUCAGCUUAACUGGGGAACUGCGUCUGAUACUGGAUGGCUUGAGUUUGGGAGAGGGAUGCGGAAUUCCAGGUGUAGCGGUGAAAUGCGUAGAUAUCUGGAGGAACACCGGUGGCGAAGGCGGCAUCCUGGACCAACACUGACACUGAGGAGCGAAAGCCAGGGGAGCAAACGGG
rnacentral:rRNA from 1 species